rnacentral:rRNA from 1 species
GAAUAUUGGACAAUGGGCGAAAGCCUGAUCCAGCCAUGCCGCGUGUGUGAAGAAGGUCUUCGGAUUGUAAAGCACUUUAAGUUGGGAGGAAGGGCAGUAAGCGAAUACCUUGCUGUUUUGACGUUACCGACAGAACAAGCCCCGGCUAACUCUGGGCCAGCCGCCGCGGUAAUCCAGCGGGUGCAAGCGUUCAUCGGGAUUACUGGGCGUAAAGCGGGAGUAGGUGGUUCGUUAAGUUGAAUGUGAAAUCCCCGGGCUCAACCUGGGAACUGCAUCCAAAACUGGCGAGCUAGAGUAGGGCAGAGGGUGGUGGAAUUUCCUGUGUAGCGGUGAAAUGCGUAGAUAUAGGAAGGAACACCAGUGGCGAAGGCGACCACCUGGGCUCAUACUGACACUGAGGUGCGAAAGCGUGGGGAGCAAACA